rnacentral:rRNA from 1 species
CGUGUAGGCGGCCCGGUAAGUCCGCUGUGAAAGUCGGGGGCUCAACCCUCGAAUGCCGGUGGAUACUGUCGGGCUAGAGUACGGAAGAGGCGAGUGGAAUUCCUGGUGUAGCGGUGAAAUGCGCAGAUAUCAGGAGGAACACCAAUUGCGAAGGCAGCUCGCUGGGACGUUACUGACGCUGAGACGCGAAAGCGUGGGGAGCAAACAGGAUUAGAUACCCUGGUAGUCCACGCUGUAAACGAUGGGCACUAGGUGUGGGGGGUGUCGACUCCCUCCGUGCCGAAGCUAACGCAUUAAGUGCCCCGCCUGGGGAGUACGGCCGCAAGGCUAAA